rnacentral:rRNA from 1 species
AUGGAACCUCCUCCCCACGAGAACGAGAUGACCAGGUCGGAGUCGGCACCGGCCACGGCGGUGAAGACGGUGGACGUGCAAACGGCGGCGACACCAGCCGUGGGGGUGACGCCGGUGGACGUGCAGACGGCGGCGACACCGGCCGUGGGGGUGACGACGGUGGACGUGCAGACGGUGACGCCACCGGCCGUGGGGGUGACGACGGUGGACGUGCAGACGGUGACGCCACCGGCCGUGGGGGUGACGACGGUGGACGUGCAGACGGCGGCGAGGGAGCUUCAGGAGCAGCAGGACGGCAUGAUGUACCUGGACGUGAGGACGGAGGAGGAGAUGGGGAAGGGCCACAUCGGCGGCUCCCUCAACGUCCCCUACUUCUUCGUCACACCACAAGGGACCCGGGAGAAGAACCCACGGUUCGUGGAGCAGGUCGCCUCGCUCUACACCACAGAGCAACACAUACUUGUCGGGUGCCAGAGCGGCAAGAGGUCAGAGCUGGCAUGCGUUGAUCUCCUAGCAGCAGGGUUCAUGAAUGUGAAGAACGUGGGAGGCGGCUACGCUGCUUGGCUGCACAACGGACUCCCAGUGACAGUGGCAGUCCCCACGCCGCCACCAACACCUGAAUCUGCUGCAGCAAUCUGA